CAAGGCCUCGCGGAUGGCACGCGCGCGUGCCUCAGCGGCGCGGCUGGCAUCGAGCAGGCGCUGCCGUUCCACGCCGCUGACCCGGGCCA
rnacentral:tRNA from 1 species